GCCUAGGGGGUAUUGAACCUACCGAAGACUAUCAAACUCCGAAUGCCGGCAUCUUAUACUUGGGAGUCAGACUGUGGGUGAUAAGAUGCAGAGUCGAAAGGGCAACAGCCCAGAUCGUCAGCAAAGGUCCCGAAAUGUAAAGUAAGAGAGAAAGUAUGUGUGAUGCCACAGACAACCAUGAUGUUAGCUUAGAAGCAGCCACUCAUUCAAAGAGUGCGUAAUAGCUCACUGGUCGAGUGAGCCUGCGCCGAAGAUUUCCGGGGCUAAAACUUACUACCGACGCUACGGCAUCAGUAAUGAUGGGUAGGGGAGCUUCCCAUACGGGUUGAAGCAUGACCGUAAUGAAAUGUGGACAGUACGGGAGUGAGAAGGUUUGCAUGAGUAGCGAGAUGUGGGGGAGAAUCCCUCAGGCCCUACACCCCACCUUUCCAGGAGAAG
rnacentral:rRNA from 1 species